GUGAAUCAUCGAAUUUUUGAACGCAAAUUGCACUCUCCUCGGAGAGUAUGCCUGUUUGAGGGUCAGCCUAAAAAAAAUCGACAUAGUCGCUGGUUCGCGUUGACAUUCGCCGGAAAUGGGGUCAUCUUAGACCUUUUGGUUUUAAACGGCUUAAAAUUUGCUUUACGAUUCCACGAACGUUUCUAAGAUUUACUUACACGUUUAAGUUAUCUAUCUAUUUUAGACGUGGCCGUUGCAUC
rnacentral:misc_RNA from 1 species